AGUGAACGCUGGCGGUAGGCCUAACACAUGCAAGUCGAACGGCAGCACAGUAAGAGCUUGCUCUUACGGGUGGCGAGUGGCGGACGGGUGAGGAAUACAUCGGAAUCUACUUUUUCGUGGGGGAUAACGUAGGGAAACUUACGCUAAUACCGCAUACGACCUACGGGUGAAAGCAGGGGAUCUUCGGACCUUGCGCGAUUGAAUGAGCCGAUGUCGGAUUAGCUAGUUGGCGGGGUAAAGGCCCACCAAGGCGACGAUCCGUAGCUGGUCUGAGAGGAUGAUCAGCCACACUGGAACUGAGACACGGUCCAGACUCCUACGGGAGGCAGCAGUGGGGAAUAUUGGACAAUGGGCGCAAGCCUGAUCCAGCUAUACCGCGUGGGUGAAGAAGGCCUUCGGGUUGUAAAGCCCUUUUGUUGGGAAAGAAAAGCAGCAGGUUAAUACCCCGCUGUUCUGACGGUACCCAAAGAAUAGGCACCGGCUAACUUCGUG
rnacentral:rRNA from 1 species